rnacentral:sRNA from 1 species
UCUCUGCUGAUCUGAGUCUGCCUGCAGCAUGGACCUGCAUCUUCCCUGAAGCAUCUCCAGGGCUGAAGAAUCACUGACCAUGGCACCAUGGUCUCAUCCAUCUGCACAGCUGCAGCCAGUGGGAGGAGAUGCCGUGAGCCCUGCCCUCAUGGCGCUGCUCUGCCUCGGGCUGAGUCUGGGCCCCAGGACCCACGUGCAGGCAGGGAACCUCUCCAAACCCAUCCUCUGGGCUGAGCCAGGCUCUGUGAUCAGCCGGGGGAACUCUGUGACCAUCUGGUGUCAGGGGACCCUGGAGGCCCAGGAAUACCAUCUGGAUAAAGAGGGAAGCCCAGAACCCCGGGACACACAGAACCCACUGGAGCCCAAGAACAAGGCCAGAUUCUCCAUCCCAUCCAUGACAGAGCACCAUGCAGGGAGAUACUGCUGUUACUAUGUCAGCCCUGCAGGCUGGUCAGAGCCCAGCGACCCCCUGGAGCUGGUGGUGACAGGAUUCUACAACAAACCCACCCUCUCAGCCGUGCCCAGCCCUGUGGUGACCUCAGGAGAGAAUGUGACCCUCCAGUGUGGCUCACGGCUGAGAUUCGACAGGUUCAUUCUGACUGAGGAAGGAGACCACAAGCUCUCCUGGACCCUGGACUCACAGCUGACCCCCAGUGGGCAGUUCCAGGCCCUGUUCCCUGUGGGCCCCGUCACCCCCAGCCACAGGUGGAUGCUCAGAUGCUAUGGCUCUCGCAGGCAUAUCCUGCAGGUGUGGUCAGAACCCAGUGACCUCCUGGAGAUUCUGGUGUCAGGUGAGGAAGCCACAGCCUUCUCUAGUACAAUUUAGGGAAGCCAGACAGGUUGUGGAGAGCCUUACCUGCAGGGCAGCCCCUGCUAAGAAAGAAAAAAAGGGGAAGGAGAACACAGAAAUCCUAGGGACACA